rnacentral:rRNA from 1 species
AGUGUCAAAAGGGCGUUUAGUGGAUGCCUUGGCAUGUAGAGGCGAUGAAGGACGUGGCACGCUGCGAUAAGUCUCGGGGAGUUGCGAGCAGACUUUGAUCCGAGAAUUUCCGAAUGGGGAAACCCACCGUUUCGGCGGUAUCGCACACUGAAUACAUAGGUGUGCGAGGCAAACCCGGGGAACUGAAACAUCUAAGUACCCGGAGGAAAGGACAGCAAUAGCUACUCCCCUAGUAGUGGCGAGCGAACGGGGACCAGCCGA